UGGGGAAUCUUGCGCAAUGGGCGAAAGCCUGACGCAGCGACGCCGCGUGGGGGAUGAAGCAUUUCGGUGUGUAAACCCCUUUCGACUGGGACGAAUGCCUCGCAAGAGGAGUGACGGUACCAGUAGAAGAAGCCCCGGCUAACUACGUGCCAGCAGCCGCGGUAAGACGUAGGGGGCCAGCGUUGUUCGGAAUUACUGGGUGUAAAGGGUUCGUAGGCGGUGUGGCAAGUUGGGAGUGAAAUCUCUGGGCUUAACCCAGAGGCUGCUUCCAAAACUGCUGUGCUUGAGUGUGGGAGAGGCGCGUGGAAUUGCAGGUGUAGCGGUGAAAUGCGUAGAUAUCUGCAGGAACACCCGUGGCGAAAGCGACGCGCUGGACCACAACUGACGCUGAGGAACGAAAGCUAGGGGAGCAAACAGGAUUAGAUACCCUGGUAGUCCUAGCCCUAAACGAUCAGGACUUGGGGUGCCACCCGUUCGGGUGUCGUCCCGGAGCUAACGCGUUAAGUCCUGCACCUGGGGAGUACGGUCGCAAGACUG
rnacentral:rRNA from 1 species